CUACGGGUUGCACCAGUCAAGAAUCUUCCACAAUGCACGAAAGUGUGAUGGAGCGACGCCGCGUGGUUGAAGGCGCCCUUCGGGGUGUAAAAAUCUUUUCUCUGGGAAGAACUAAUGACGGUACCAGAGGAAUAAGGGGCUGCUAAACUCGUGCCAGCAGCAGCGGUAAUACGAGUGCCCCGAGCGUUACCCGGAUUUAUUGGGCGUAAAGCGUACGUAGGUGGUUUAAUAAGUCAACGUUAAAAUCCUUCAGCUCAACUGGAGAUCUGGCACUGAUACUGUUAGACUAGAGUCUGGAAGAGGCAAGCGGAAUUGCUGGUGUAGGGGUCAAAUCCGUUAAUAUCAGCAGGAACACCAAAUGUGAAGACAGCUUGCUAGGACAGUACUGACACUAAGGUACGAAAGCGUGGGGAGCGAAGCGGAUUAGAUACCCCUGUAGUC
rnacentral:rRNA from 1 species